UCCUGGCUCAGCGCAGCAUGCAACAGGAGACUUUGCUGAAUGAAAGGCAUGUGACACUCUUAAGAGCAGCAGGGUCAGGCCCUUGUGGGGAGCUGGAGAGCUCAGAGGUUUAGCUGCUUUAGGAUUGCUGUCUUCUGGUACAACCAACUGCGGUCAAGCCCAGGCUGCAGCGUGCUGCCACACGCAGUCUCUCACCAGGCGACAUGGAGAACGUGCCGCUUGCUUUUCUGCCUGAUCAGUUUAUAGGAGCACCAGCUCCAUUUGCCAGCGUUCUUGUAACCCAGCAUCCAGUCCGGACUCCUUCCAGAGGCUACCUCAUCCAUGCUAAGACUAAGCUAAUCAAGACCAGAUAUCAACAAGAGCAAUAUG